rnacentral:lncRNA from 1 species
AGCUGCGCACCGAGGCGCACCUCCGCGCACCCUCAGGAGGCGGGUCCAGCUCGGUGGCGAGGGGAGCGCGGCCCCCGAGUGGGCGAGGCGCUGGCGGCUGUAGGCUCCGAUACCGCGGAGCACACUCCCCUCCAUCGAGACCGUGCCCCCGCGGGGUCUGUGUCCCCGGGAGGAGUUGGCUGCGUUUGGAGAUCCCUCGGCCUGGUAUUCGUCGCGUCUCCCUGCUUGUUGCUCUCCACGUUUAGCCCCAUCCGACUUCUGGAAGCCCAGGGGUGUGUCGCUCGACCCCUAAAAUAUGCUCCUACCCCUAGGGCAAACUUCAGAAUCCUCACCCUGGCCCCCUUCCCAGUUCUUGGUUCCCAGGCAGGUCCCUUUGCAAAGCCUCUCUCCAGCAAGAAUGCGCAGAAUGGGCCUCUUUCUCCUCUUGACUCCUGCCCUCCAGCACUUUGCAGCUUUCUUCUAUUUUAGCCUCUCUCUCUCUCUCUCACACACACACACACACACACACACACACACACACACACACACGGUAUAUUCAAUGAGUUUGCUUAUUAGAUGGGUACUUGAUGUACAAGACUCCAGAGGCUCUGUGGGAAGAGCCACAUUCCUUCCAGGCUCACUAACCCACUCCCUCUUUGUGCUCCAGCCCUCACUGUCUUGGUCUGUGGCAUGCAGUUCCUGGGUCACAUUUCCUUCUCUGCCUUCAGCACAGCCUCGGGCUGUGCCUGGCUCCCAGGCUGGAGUUCCUUGGUUCCAAAGCCUGCAGUCCCCUCUGCCAGAGACAGAGCUGGUUUCAUGGGUGAACAGCCCAUGCAGUCACAACGGGCCGCAUGCUCAGAAUCCUGUACUUGGUUUAGUACUUUGCUGUUGCCGUCUUGAAAUGAUUUUCUAAUAGGGGUUCUUGUGUUUUCAUUUUGCACGGGGCUGUGCAAAUUAUGUGACUGGUCCUGGCUAGAGACCUCAGAGGUCGUCCACCCUGAUCUCCACCAUAUCUCAAACGCUGAAGAUUGACUUCCAGGUCUGGCCCUCUUCCCAGGAUGGCACAUUGUGUUUUAAUCAUUACCUUUCCCUCCUGUGCGAUGGCGGAUCAUGCAAGUCCACGCUGGCUGUCUGUCCUGGGUGUAGAUGCUGAUUUGGUGUCCCACUCAGAUCCCCUUGCAGGAAGAACGGAGCUCCCUAAGUGUGGUUUAUGCCCCACAGCUCUUCCACUGUGGGUCAGGCCAAGGCUGGGCUGAGACUGUUCCUGCUCAGCAUUUUUCCUUUCCCUCUUCUGCUUCCUUCCUUCUUUUACUGGUUUUUCUGGAAGUACACUCCCCCCCAGCCCCACCAAACAAACAAAACAAACAAACAAAAAAACACUUCAUGCCUGUCUCAGGCUCUGCUUUUAAGACAAUGAUUUUAACUCCCAGAUCUCUCUCAACAGAGAGCACCAGAUUCUCAAAACAAUGCAGACUUUGGAGCCACAUGUGGGUUUGAAUCUCAACUCUACCUGAGUGACCCUGGGCAAGUCACUUCACUUCCCUGAGACUCAAGUUUCAUCAAGAUGGGAACAAUGAGCAUCUGCCUCACAGGCUUGUCGUGAGGAUUAAGUGAGAAGGUGCAGCUGCAAAGACAUCAAGCUGGACCCAUCGAGGAUUUCGGAUUCAGCCAUCAUGGGGCUGCUGCCGGGGAAGCCACUGCCCCUCCUUUCUCCUCAGCACUGGGGUUAUAAAAAAAUACCUACAAACCAUGAGAAAGUUUGUGUAAAAACACUUUUCUGCACAUAUAAAAAGAGAGACUGGCCGUGGUCAGUGGCUCAGGACGUGGACCAAAGUCCCAAGAGUGGCCAAGGGGAGUCCGUGGUGCCCCAGAGGUAGAAGAGCUAGCCUGGGGCACCCCUGGUUGCCGGGAC